GCAUCAUCUCAAGUCAAAAAUUAAAAAGUCUUUAGAGUCUUGAAUGGGCUGGGAGUGGCAAACUGGGUAGUAACACGUGGGAACUUGCCCCCGCCACAACGAUAACUUGAAGAAAUUCAAGCUAAUAGUUGAUGGUCUCGAGAGAGUAAAGGAACUUGUAAAAGAGUUUCCGGGCGGGGAGAGGCCUGCGGGCUAUCAGCUUGUUGGUGGUGUAAUGGACCACCAAGGCUAUGACGGCUAGGGGAGGUGAGAGCCUGACCCCCACCAUUGGCAUUGAGAUACUGGCCAAACACCUACGGGUGGCUGCAGUCGAGAAUCUUCCGCAAUGCACGAAAGUGUGACGGAGCGACGUCGCGUGAUGGAUGAAGUCCUUAGGGGCGUAAACAUCUUUUAUGAGGGAGGAAGUUUAUUGACGUUACCUCAUGAAUAAGGAGUUGCUAAACUCGUGCCAGCAGCAGCGGUAAUACGAGUGCUCCAAGCGUUAUCCGGAAUCACUGGGCGUAAAGGGUCCGUAGGCGGUUCUUUUAGUCUUCCGUUAAAGCCCGGGGCUCAACCCCGGAUAGGCGGAGGAAACGGCAGAACUAGAGGGUGUGAGAGGUUGUUGGAACUCAUAGUGUAGGGGUGAAAUCCGUUGAUCUUAUGAGGAACACCAAAUGCGAAGGCAGACAACUGGCGCACUUCUGACGCUGAGGGACGAAAGCGUGGGUAGCGAAUGGGAUUAGAUAAUCCCGUCACCGCAUUACAAUAGUGACGAAGGUGUCUCUUUUCUGUGGCGACACAGAAUUGUAAACCAUCGACAAAUUCAGGUUUAGCCCGGGUUUGUCGAAGGCUAAUCUAGCUAUAUCGGUGAAACUCCAUACAAUAAUGAAAUUAUUACUGGUUUCGUAUGGACAACCCCGAGGGAAGUUGUUCGCCAAUCGGCGAAUUGACCCCGUAGAGACUAUGAAUUUGAGAAAAAGAUAGUUGGCGCAUUUUUGUUGCUGUAUAGUUUUAACUUUAAAUUAAAAUAUGCAACAAACAGAUAAAAAAUAUGUGCCUUUGUCGGAUAAAGCGAAACAAGUCAUUCUCGGAUCAAUUCUUGGAGAUGGUUCGCUUAAA
rnacentral:rRNA from 2 species